rnacentral:rRNA from 1 species
AGAAACUAAACAGGAUCCCCAUAGUAAUGGCGAAUGAACCGGGAUAAACUCAGCAUGGAAAUUGGGGCCUUUGGCUUUGACUUGUAAUCUGGUGAGGCAUUGCCAACAGAGGCGCAUAUGUAAGUCUCUUGGAAAAGAGCAUCAACGAAGGUGAGAGUCCUGAUUGUCAUGUGCAGCCCCCCUGUGCACGGUGUGCCUUCUAAGAGUCACGUUCCUUGGGAUUGGAGCGCAAAUUGGGUGGUAACUUUCAUCUGAAGUUAAACAAUGGUUUGGGACCGAUAGGAAACAAGUACCAUGAGGGAAAGGUGAAAAGGACUUUGGAAAGAGAGUUAAAAGUGCCUGAAAUUGCUGAAGGGGAAGCGAAUGGAACCAGUAGUGCUGGGUGAGAUUGUCACAUGCUACAAGGAUUGGUUGCUGCCACAACGCAAGUGUGAUGGCGAUGUGUGAAUUGCUAGUGUGUGGUGUGUCUUACCUAGUGGGUCAUUGUGGGUUUAUGCAUUAAGAUAAGUCAAAGCAAGCGGGAGCAAGUUUACGAGUUUGUGAAUGUGUGUUGUUAUGCUUGUGCGUAAGCUUUAGUGUUUGUCUGGCUGCAGGGCUGUCCAUCCUCAAGCAGGACUUGUGGUUGCGAUGAGCAUAACCUUCUGCACAGAUCUUGACGAAAUGGUUUCAUUCGACCGCUC